AUCUUGGUGGAGAUCCCUGCCUACUUGAGACUUUCCAAAAGUCUUUUACUGGCGUCUUUGCAUCUGUCAUCUGAUUUAUCCACUGAAGUGUGUUUCUGCAGAAUGAGGCCCUGUAUAAGGAUAGUAUAAAAAAGGUAUGCAAUACUGCUGGACUUCAUGUAUCUAUUCUGGCUGACUGACACACUUUGGAGAGGCCUGUGAGCAUGAUUUCCUCAAGUGCUGGGACAGCUGGACACUCUGAUGGUGGUAAGGAGAUCAGAUAGGUGCUAUUGGAGACAUGGGGUAGGGACGUCCUUCAGAGAUUCAGCACUGAAUGACCACCUAACUGUAGAACAGGUGUUGACUAUAUUUGCUGCUCCUAAAAGCUUUGGUGUCAGAGCAGAGUGCAAUCACUUACCAAGUCACAGAGCAAUCACGUGAAUGAUAGCACUGAUCCCUGGGAAUGAUUCCUGCCAACAUCAACUCAUUUCAGCGUGUAAUUAUGAUACAGCCGUAAUCUGGAGAGUUGCUGUGGGAAAUGGAUUGCUCCAUGGAUUUGUAAGACACCUAGUAGAUCUCUGUCAUAUGCUUCUGAGUUUCAUAGAGGCAACAAGAUAAAGAGGAUGUGAGCCAGAAACUCCUGUUCCUGAAGCACUGGACCAAUUAUUCACUGAAUUACAGCUUCUGUAAAGUGCUGCUGAUGGCAGCAAGACUACAGAAAUGUCUGAAGGCAUAAUAUGGACCAGCAGCAAUGUAUUUUCAGUGAUGGAAGCCUGUGGUGGAAUGGCCACUGUGUCUAAAAAUCCCAGCUGAGUUCAUACUACUGGCUAAUAACUGGGAAAUGAGUAUCAGCUAUCAAUCCUGGGAGGAAAAUGCAGAAGUCAACCCUGACAUUUUCAGUUUUGUUUCUAUAAAAUGAACCUGCUAUCGACAUUUCACAGAACUUUUUUUCCCUUCAAAUAUGAAAAUGAAAGGCAAAUACUAAAAAAGCUUUCUAAUAUUAGUGCUCAAUUGCAUAGAGCAUUCCUGGCAUUCAUCAAAUUAAAAGAGCCUGCAAUAUUCAUACACUUUCUUUCUUGGAAAUGGAACCUGUGGUUGUUAGCACUGUCUGACUGCCCAAGUGAACUGAUUCUGCAGGAGCUUUGGAUCUUGGUCCAGGCAGCCAUCCUGGAGUCCUCACCUCACCAAGCCAUGUUUCCAGUGUCCAAGGUUACUUCUGUGUAACCUUGUGGGAAAACGGAUGGCUUUUCUUGUAAAUCUUUCAAUGGUGCCACUUCUAGGGCUGCUCUAUGAAGACGAGCCCGUGCAAAAAAAAAUACUGAUAUGUGUGAUGAAAAUAAGUUGUCAUUUAUAUUUUUAUAGAAGGAAUUGAAUACUUGUUUGCAGAAUCCAGGACAUGAAUCCAAAACUGAGGCCUCUUGGCCCUUCUGGGAUGCAAACAGUAAUCUGAAAUAUACAUCUGGCACUGUGCAAAGAGAGAACAUCCAAAAUCUGUCAUAUCCCAUUAUGUUGCCGUGCUGCUGUUAAGCUAUUAUUAGUAUUUAAACUAAAUAUAUCUUCUAGCAUAAUACCUCAUUCAAGUACCCAUUCCUUUUAUUGCCACAAACUAUUCUGAACAUCACAUACACAAAACUGGAACAUCUCUUGAUGGAUAAUUAUCUUCCUUUCUUAUUUUAUUUUAACUGGGAGGAAACAAAACUUACCAAAUGUUGUAAUGUGGUUUGAAGAAAAUGAAAUAGAUUUUCCUAUCACUUUAGGUGAGAGAAGUGAACAGAAGCUUUUCUAAUGCAGUUCAGCUGUAGGUGUUUGAUUCCGCACUAGCAAGGGCCCGUACGCUGUCAGUGGUGUAUCAGUUUUGUCUUUAGGGGAUUUAAGACUCUGGAAUGACUGAUUUCUUUUUUUUAACUGUCUUUUAUAAUUAAUUAUCUGCCUCCUCUAUCUCUUCAAAGCCAAGUGAAAUAAAGACGUUGCAAGAUACUAGAAUUACUCCAAGUGAGAAGUUAGCUUAGAAAUGUGUCCCUCACAAGUUGGAUGCUAUAUGUUUCCACUCAGAGAUCUCAGCUGUUAGAAAGACCUAAUCAAACUUCUGGUAGCCUUUUGAAAAGAGCAGAGUUUUUACAGCAUAAAUCCAGGAAAAAAAGUACCAUCCUUUCCUAACUUGUCACUAGGGGUGUUCAUGAAGCAACCCAGCUAUCUUAGUUCAGCAGGGCGCUACCUCUGUCCCUGUACAUUGAGCAGUGCCCCAUUAUGAUCAUAGGUAUUGGAUCAGGACUGUCUGCAUAGUUGAACACAGGCCUUAUUUUGGACAGCUAGCGUCAUCAAGGAUGCUUCCCUGGCUGGGUAAGCACAGACCAGCAGCAGCUCUGAAGAGUAAUGGAGUGGACAUGAGGUUUCCUUGUCCAGGAAGUUGGUCCCAGAGGGACGUCUUGGCAGCAUUUAAUUUAGAAGCAAGAAAUAUUAGGGUCCUGCAGCCAUAAGCAUCUUCAGGCAUCAUCUUUCACCCCAGCUCAUGCUGAAUGAGCUUGAGAGCAGCCACAGGACUGGGCUAGAAAGCCUAAGCAGAGCAUGAUGCUAAUGCAACUGUAGCUGAACAGUGAAGAUCCCAGUGUCUAAAAAGUGCCUGGAUAAAUGACCUUUCUGCUUCCUGUUUCUGAGGCUGUCUUUUGCAGCAAGAGUCCCUUGAGACAAAGAAGAAUAA
ensembl:lncRNA